GAUGAACGCUGGCGGCGUGCCUAAUACAUGCAAGUCGAGCGAACAGAUGAGGAGCUUGCUCCUCUGACGUUAGCGGCGGACGGGUGAGUAACACGUGGAUAACCUACCUAUAAGACUGGGAUAACUUCGGGAAACCGGAUCUAAUACCGGAUAAUAUAUUGAACCUCAUUGUUCAAUAGUGAAAGACGGUUUUGCUGUCACUUAUAGAUGGAUCCGCGCCGCAUUAGCUAGUUGGUAAGGUAACGGCUUACCAAGGCAACGAUGCGUAGCCGACCUGAGAGGGAGAACGGAUAGACUGGAAGUGAGACACGGCACAGACUCCGACGGGAGGCAGCAGUAGGGAAUCUUCCGCGAUGGGCGAAUGCCUGACGGAGCAACGCCGCGUGAGUGAUGAAGGUCUUCGGAUGGUAGAACGAUGUUAUUAGGGAAGAACAAAUGUGUAAGUAACUGUGCACAUAUUGACGGUACCUAAUCAGAAAGCCACGGCUAACUACGUG
rnacentral:rRNA from 1 species